AUGGCUUUCGUACGUCCAUUGCUCCACGUACGUAUGAGCAGCACACGUAUAAACCUCUGAAUUAUUGUACUCAUCAUUCAACUAGUUCUUCUUCUUCGAUUUUUAGAGAGAGAAAGUGGCGAGGAAACCCUGAAUCUUCAAAGCUAAGCACCGGCUGUGGAAAAUUGUUCAAGAAAACGAAGCUUUAGUCAAGCUACGGUAGCAGGUUAUUGAUCUCUUGAAUUGAAGGUUGAAGAACGAGUAUAGAGUAGGAAGUGAUUAGGGUUCCUCAAUUCAUUCAGGGUACAAGUGCAACUAUGACAUCUACGACCGCUACCGCAUCUGCAACAACUUCCUCUUGCUAUUACGAAUCCAACCUUCUCGCCCUCUCACCUUCACAACAACCUUCAUGUUAUUGUUAACCCUAAUUUUCAUACCCAAGUUGGUUUCUUCGCUCUUGUUGGUGCAUAUUUCGUACGUUUGCCACUGUGCGAAUAGUUAGAUAGAGCGUGUGUUGAAUAUUGUAUAGAAUAGGAAAAAGUUGGACACGGUAUUGUAAUUGUCAAAGUCCAUCCAGACGGAUAACCAUCCGGACGGAUGACAAUCCGGACAGAUGGACAUAGUGUCAUCCGGAUGGGUGUAGGUAGUUGUCUAUAAAUAGGGACUUGGGGUUUCCAUUUGGACAAGCUUUUGGUCCCUGAGGGGAAAUGCUAUCCAACUGGUCUCAUGGUGCUGUAACUUGUCAAGAUUUCAAGAGAGACCAGAUUA
rnacentral:lncRNA from 1 species